rnacentral:rRNA from 1 species
GACGAACGCUGGCGGCGUGCUUAACACAUGCAAGUCGAACGAAGUGGCGAACGGGUGAGUAACGCGUAAUCAACCUGCCCUUCAGAGGGGGACAACAGUUGGAAACGACUGCUAAUACCGCACACUGAAGGAGGGGAUUGCGUCUGAUUAGCUAGUUGGAGGGGUAACGGCCCACCAAGGCGAUGAUCAGUAGCCGGUCGGAGAGGAUGAACGGCAACAUUGGGACUGAGACACAGCCCAUACUUCUACGGGAGGCAGCAGUUGGGAAUGUUCCGCAAUGGACGAAAGUCUGACGGGGCAACGCCGCGGGAAUGAUGACGGCCUUCGGGUUGGAAAGCUCUGUUAAUCGGAACGCGGUACCGAAAUAGAAAGCCACGGCUAACUACGUGCCAGCAGCCGCGGUAAUUC